rnacentral:rRNA from 1 species
UACGGAGGGGGCAAGCGUUAUCCGGAAUCAUUGGGUUUAAAGGGUCCGCAGGCGGUCUUAUAAGUCAGUUGUGAAAGCCUACAGCUCAACUGUAGAACUGCCAUUGAUACUGUAAGACUUGAAUUCGGUCGAAGUGGGCGGAAUAUGACAUGUAGCGGUGAAAUGCUUAGAUAUGUCAUAGAACACCGAUAGCGAAGGCAGCUCACUAGGCCUGGAUUGACGCUCAGGGACGAAAGCGUGGGGAGCAAACAGG